rnacentral:rRNA from 1 species
CAAGCAAAAUGAAUUUUAGUUUGAACCCCCGAAACUAAGUGAGCUACUUCGAAACAGUUUUAAGAACAAACCCGUCUCUGUAGCAAUAGAGUGGAGUGAUUUCCAAGUAGAGGUGAUAAACCUACCGCACUUAGAGAUAGCUGGUUGCUCAAGAAAAGAAUUUUAGUUCAACCUUAAGUUUCUUAAUUACAUAAAAAAGAAUUUAAACUUAAGAGCUAUUCAUAUAAGGCACAGCUUAUUUGAAAUAGGACACAACCUCUAACACAGGGUAAUAAUUGUGAAUGGACACUAAGUGGGCCUAAAAGCAGCCACCUCCUAAAAAGCGUCAAAGCUUAAUACCAACUCUAUUUUAAUACCUCAACACACUCUAAACCCGUUAUCAUUAUUGAGCAAUUCCAUAAACCUAUGGAAGAUAUAAUGCUAGAACUAGUAACAAGAAAAACCUUCUCCAAAAUGUAAGCCUAAGCCACAAUAGAUACACUACUGGCAAUUAACGCAAGUGAACUUAAUAUAGUAACCCCAACAAGAAAACCCUAUAACUUUCAACGUCAACCUUACACUAGAACAUUUAUGGAAAGAUAAAAGAAAAAGAAGGAACUCGGCAAAACUUAACUC